GAACUUAAGCAUAUCAGUAAGCGGAGGAAAAGAAACUAACAAGGAUUCCCUCAGUAACGGCGAGUGAAGUGGGAAGAGCUCAACUUUAAAAUCUGGGAGGAAUUUUCUCUCCGAAUUGUAGUUUAUAGAGGCGUUAUCUGAUCUAAUCAUUGUGCACAAGUCCUUUGGAAUAAGGCGUCACAGAGGGUGAGAACCCCGUUUGGGCACGGUCGGUUAGAUCUUCAUGAGGCGCUCUCUGAGAGUCGAGUUGUUUGGGAAUGCAGCUCAAAAUGGGUGGUAAAUUUCAUCUAAGGCUAAAUAUUGGCAAGAGACCGAUAGCGAACAAGUACCGUGAGGGAAAGAUGAAAAGAACUUUGAAAAGAGAGUAAAAUAGUGCGUGAAAUUGUUAAAAGGGAAACGAUUGAGACCAGUAUUACUGCCUAUUGUUCAGCAGUCGGUGCCGGAUAGUCAUUGCUUCGAGAGUUUGUAAUGGACCUCGGGUGAUGGCUUUGAAGAGCUCUUUGACUGUGUAGUCGGUAGGCAGUGAGUCAACAUCAGUUUUGACAAUGGUGCAAAGGUUAAGGGAAGGUGAUAAUGACCUUCGGGUUACUAUUUUAUAGACCUUAACUGUUGCCGUCGUCGGGACUGAGGAGUCGCGGAUUGGAUUCUCCGUUCUAGAAUUGAGUUUCAAUUCGGAACGCGUUCAAUUCAAGGAUGUUGACGAAAUGGUCUUAAACGACCCGUCUUGAAACACGGACCAAGGAGUCUAACGUAUAUGCGAGUAUUUGAGUGGCAAACUCGAGUGCGUAAUGAAAGUGAUACUGGUAGGAUCCAAUGUAAAAGUUGGUGCAUUAUCGACCAAUCUUGAUAUCUUUUGAUAGAUUUGAGUUUGAGCAUAUCCGCUGGGACCCGAAA
rnacentral:rRNA from 1 species